rnacentral:rRNA from 1 species
ACGAAGGGGGCUAGCGUUGCUCGGAAUCACUGGGCGUAAAGCGCACGUAGGCGGACUCUUAAGUCGGGGGUGAAAUCCUGAGGCUCAACCUCAGAACUGCCCUCGAUACUGGGAGUCUCGAGUCCGGGAGAGGUGAGUGGAACUCCGAGUGUAGAGGUGAAAUUCGUAGAUAUUCGGAAGAACACCAGUGGCGAAGGCGGCUCGCUGGCUCAGGCCUGACGCUGAGGGGCGAAAGCGUGGGGAGCGAACGG